AACGAACGCUGGCGGCAUGCCUAACACAUGCAAGUCGAACGAGACCUUCGGGUCUAGUGGCGCACGGGUGCGUAACGCGUGGGAACCUGCCCUUAUGUUCGGAAUAACUCCCCGACAGGGGUGCUAAUACCGGAUAAUGUCUUCGGACCAAAGAUUUAUCGCCUUUGGAUGGGCCCGCGUUGGAUUAGCUAGUUGGUAGGGUAAAAGCCUACCAAGGCGACGAUCCAUAGCUGGUCUGAGAGGAUGAUCAGCCACACUGGGACUGAGACACGGCCCAGACUCCUACGGGAGGCAGCAGUGGGGAAUAUUGGACAAUGGGCGAAGGCCUGAUCCAGCAAUGCCGCGUGAGUGAUGAAGGUCUUAGGGUUGUAAAGCUCUUUUACCCGGGAUGAUAAUGACAGUACCGGGAGAAUAAGCUCCGGCUAACUCCGUG
rnacentral:rRNA from 1 species